GGCGGCGUAGCCAAGCGGUAAGGCGGUGGUCUGCAAAACCACUAUUGAUGGGUUCGACUCCCAUCGCCGCCUCCA
rnacentral:tRNA from 1 species